UACGGGGGGAGCAAGCGUUGUUCGGAUUUACUGGGCGUAAAGGGCGCGUAGGCGGUCGUGACAAGUCACUUGUGAAAUCUCCGGGCUUAACUCGGAACGGUCAAGUGAUACUGUCGGACUAGAGUACAGAAGGGGCAACUGGAAUUCUCGGUGUAGCGGUGAAAUGCGUAGAUAUCGGGAGGAACACCGGCGGCGAAGGCGGCUGCCUGGACCAGUCCUGACGCUGAGGCGCGAAAGCUAGGGGAGCAAACAGG
rnacentral:rRNA from 1 species